UACAGAGGGUGCGAGCGUUAAUCGGAAUUACUGGGCGUAAAGGGCGCGUAGGCGGCUUGAUAAGUCGGAUGUGAAAGCCCCGGGCUUAACCUGGGAAUUGCAUUCGAUACUGUCCGGCUAGAGUAUGGUAGAGGUGAGCGGAAUUCCGGGUGUAGCGGUGAAAUGCGUAGAUAUCCGGAGGAACAUCAGUGGCGAAGGCGGCUCACUGGACCAAUACUGACGCUGAGGCGCGAAAGCGUGGGGAGCAAACAGGAUUAGAUACCCUGGUAGUCCACGCCCUAAACGAUGAGAACUAGCCGUUGGGGGCAUUUAAGCUCUUAGUGGCGCAGCUAACGCGUUAAGUUCUCCGCCUGG
rnacentral:rRNA from 1 species